rnacentral:rRNA from 1 species
UACGUAGGUGGCAAGCGUUGUCCGGAUUUACUGGCGUAAAGAGCGCGCAGGCGGUCGGCCAAGUCGAGUGUGAAAGCCCCCGGCUCAACUGGGGAGGGUCAUUCGAUACUGGUCGACUCGAAGGCAGGAGAGAGAAGCGGAAUUCCCGGUGUAGUGGUGAAAUGCGUAGAUAUCGGGAGGAACACCAGUGGCGAAGGCGGCUUCCUGGCCUGUUCUUGACGCUGAGGCGGCGAAAGCUGAGG